AUACCUUUCUCGGCCUUUUGGCUAAGAUCAAGUGUAGUAUCUGUUCUUAUCAUUUUAAUAUCUGAUAUGUGGGCCAUCGGCCCACACGAUAUUAACUCUACUUUUAAAGGGAGAAAGCCCACUAAGAUAGCUUGCUAUCUUGGGCUUUCGCGAGUCGCCCAUGCGUUGCACUACUGCACGGGCUUGGCUCAUUCCAU